UUAUGAAUUUGGUUCUGGUUUUUAGGUUAAAAAAUUAAAGAUUUUAAUGCAUGAAAGCUAGUGAGCGUUCCGGUAAGUAAGCAGACCCUUUGGUAAUAAGUAUUAGAAAUAAAGUAUUCAUAAGGUUUUGUAUAAAAUAACUAAAAUAAAAAAGUGGUAUAGGUUUAUUAAAUGGCUUUACACCUUCAGCAGUGAGGCCUUAACAAUUACUGAAAAGUUGAUUAGGUAAAUAAUAAAUAGAUUUGGCUAAGUAUCGUGCCAGCAGCCGCGGUUACACGAACUAAAAUCUUUUAAUUUAGUAAGCGGCUUAAUGGGGAAAUAGAAAAAAGUAAUCAUAAAAAGCGUAAAAAAUAUAAAGUAAAAUUUUUAUUUUACCUGUAAAGUGAUAUGUACUAUAGAGGCCCCGAAAUUUAAGACAUAGACCCGGAUUAGAUACCCGGUUAUCCUUAAGAAUAAAAAAGUUAUGCCGGUGGAGUACGGGGGUGUCCCUGAAAAACAAAGAACUUGGCGGUUGUCUAAGUCUGACUGGGGGUGCCUGCUUGUGAAAACCGGUGGUCCGCGUUGUACCUUACCUUUUCUUGAAAUAACAGCUAUUAUAUCAUCGUCGUUAACCUCCUAUUGUAAACUAAGUUGGGGAAAAUACUUAUUUAGUAAGACGUCAGAUCGAGAUGGUGCCUAUGAGAAGGGCUAUGGUUGGUAGCAUUGAUAAUUAAUCUUUAUUAGUUUGGAUUUAUAAAUGAAAAGUUUUAAUGAAAUAGGACUCAGUAGUAAAAUCUAAAGAGAAAGAAGAAUUGAAAUAAGCAAUUGGACUUCGUACACAUCGCCCGUCACCUGCGGGGUAAAACUUGGAGUAAGUCGUAACAUAGUAGGCGGACCGGAAGGUGUGGCCUGGUUAAAG
rnacentral:ncRNA from 1 species